AGUGAACGCUGGCGGUAGGCCUAACACAUGCAAGUCGAACGGCAGCACAGAGGAGCUUGCUCCUUGGGUGGCGAGUGGCGGACGGGUGAGGAAUACAUCGGAAUCUACUCUGUCGUGGGGGAUAACGUAGGGAAACUUACGCUAAUACCGCAUACGACCUACGGGUGAAAGCAGGGGAUCUUCGGACCUUGCGCGAUUGAACGAGCCGAUGUCGGAUUAGCUAGUUGGCGGGGUAAAGGCCCACCAAGGCGACGAUCCGUAGCUGGUCUGAGGGGAUGAUCAGCCACACUGGAACUGAGACACGGUCCAGACUCAUACGGGAGUCAGCAGUGGGGAAUGUUGGACAAUGGGCGCAAGCCUGAUCCAGCCAUACCGCGUGGGUGAAGAAGGCCUUCGGGUUGUAAAGCCCUUUUGUUGGGAAAGAAAUCCAUCUGGUUAAUACCCGGGUGGGAUGACGGUACCCAAAGAAUAAGCACCGGCUAACUUCGUGCCAGCCGCCGCGGUAA
rnacentral:rRNA from 1 species